UACGGGGGGGGCAAGCGUUGGUUCGGAAUUACUGGGCGUAAAGGGCGCGUAGGCGGCCUUCUAAGUCGGACGUGAAAUCCCUCGGCUUAACCGAGGAACUGCGUCCGAUACUGAAAGGCUUGAAUCCGGGAGAGGGAUGUGGAAUUCCAGGUGUAGCGGUGAAAUGCGUAGAUAUCUGGAGGAACACCGGUGGCGAAGGCGGCAUCCUGGACCGGCAUUGACGCUGAGGCGCGAAAGCUAGGGGAGCAAACGGG
rnacentral:rRNA from 1 species